GAUGAAGAACGUAGCGAAAUGCGAUAAGUAGUGUGAAUUGCAGAAUUCAGUGAAUCAUCGAAUCUUUGAACGCACAUUGCGCCCCUUGGUAUUCCAUGGGGCAUGCCUGUUCGAGCGUCAUUUGUACCUUCUAGCUUUGCUUGGUGUUGGGUGUUUGUCUCGCCUUUGCGUGUAGACUCGCCUUAAAAUAAUUGGCAGCCGGCGUAUUGAUUUCGGAGCGCAGUACAUCUCGCGCUUUGCACUCAUAACGACAGCGUCCAAAAGUACAUUUUACACUCUUGACCUCGGAUCAGGUAGGGAUACCCGCUGAACUUAAGCAUAUCAAUAAGCGGAGGA
rnacentral:misc_RNA from 1 species